ACGGCUCAGUAACACGUGGACAACCUACCCUGAGGUCGGGGAUAAACCCGGGAAACUGGGUAUAAUACCCGAUAGAUCUAGAUUGCUGGAAUGCUUUUAGGUCUAAAGUUCCGACGCCUCAGGAUGGGUCUGCGGCCUAUCAGGGUAGUAGUGGGUGUAAAGUACCUACUAGCCUACGACGGGUACGGGUUGUGAGAGCAAGAGCCCGGAGAUGGAUUCUGAGACACGAAUCCAGGCCCUACGGGGUGCGGCAGGCGCGAAACCUUUACAAUGCUGGCAACAGCGAUAAGGGGACCUCGAGUGCUACGAUACAAUCGUGGCUGUCUAGUUGCCUAAAAAGCAAUUGAUAGCAAGGGCCGGGCAAGACCGGUGCCAGCCGCCGCGGUAACACCGGCGGCUCGAGUGGUAACCGCUAUUAUUGGGUCUAAAGGGUCUGUAGCCGGCUUAGUUAGUCUCUUGAGAAAUCUGGCCGCUCAACGGUCAGGCGUUCAGGGGAUACUGCUAAAGCUCGAGACCGGGAGAGGUGAGAGGUACUUCAGGGGUAGGGGUGAAAUCUUGUAAUCCUUGAAGGACCACCAGUGGCGAAGGCGUCUCACCAGAACGGAUCUGACGGCAAGGGACGAAAGCUAGGGGCACGAACCGGAUUAGAUACCCGGGUAGUCCUAGCCGUAAACGAUACUCGCUAGGUGUCGGCCACGGUGCGACCGUGGUCGGUGCCGUAGGGAAGCCGUGAAGCGAGCCACCUGGGAAGUACGGCCGCAAGGCUGAAACUUAAAGGAAUUGGCGGGGGAGCAC
rnacentral:rRNA from 1 species